rnacentral:rRNA from 1 species
GACGAACGCUGGCGGCGUGCUUAACACAUGCAAGUCGAACGCUGAAGCUCAGCUUUUGUUGGGUGGAUGAGUGGCGAACGGGUGAGUAACACGUGAGUAACCUGCCUCCUUCUUUGGGAUAACGCCCGGAAACGGGUGCUAAUACUGGAUAUUCACUGGUCUUCGCAUGGGGGUUGGUGGAAAGGGUUUUUCUGGUGGGGGAUGGUCUCGCGGCCUAUCAGCUUGUUGGUGGGGUGAUGGCCUACCAAGGCUUUGACGGGUAGCCGGCCUGAGAGGGUGACCGGUCACAUAGGAACUGAGAUACGGCCCAGACUCCUACGGGAGGCAGCAGUGGGGAAUAUUGCACAAGGGGCGCAAGCCUGAUGCAGCGACGCCGCGUGAGGGAUGGAGGCCUUCGGGUUGUGAACCUCUUUCGCUCAUGGUCAAGCCGCAACAAUGGUUGUGGUGAGGGUAGUGGGUAAAGAAGCGCCGGCUAACUACGUG